rnacentral:rRNA from 1 species
UGAGUAACACGUAUGCAACCUGCCUGCCACAGCCGGAUAAUCGGGAGAAAUUCCGUCUAAUACGGCAUAAUGCAUCGACGGGACAUCCUGUUGGUGCCAAAGGUUAAUUCCGGUGGCGGAUGGGCAUGCGUCGCAUUAGUUAGUUGGCGGUGUAACGGACCACCAAGACGACGAUGCGUAGGGGUUCUGAGAGGAAGGUCCCCCCACACUGGUACUGAGACACGGACCAGACUCCUACGGAAGGCAGCAG